GCCUGAUGCAGCGACGCCGCGUGAGGGAUGACGGCCUUCGGGUUGUAAACCUCUUUCAGCAGGGAAGAAGCGAAAGUGACGGUACCUGCAGAAGAAGCGCCGGCUAACUACGUGCCAGCAGCCGCGGUAAUACGUAGGGCGCAAGCGUUGUCCGGAAUUAUUGGGCGUAAAGAGCUCGUAGGCGGCUUGUCACGUCGGAUGUGAAAGCCCGAGGCUUAACCUCGGGUCUGCAUUCGAUACGGGCUAGCUAGAGUGUGGUAGGGGAGAUCGGAAUUCCUGGUGUAGCGGUGAAAUGCGCAGAUAUCAGGAGGAACACCGGUGGCGAAGGCGGAUCUCUGGGCCAUUACUGACGCUGAGGAGCGAAAGCGUGGGGAGCGAACAGGAUUAGAUACCCUGGUAGUCCACGCCGUAAACGUUGGGAACUAGGUGUUGGCGACAUUCCACGUCGUCGGUGCCGCAGCUAACGCAUUAAGUUCCCCGCCUGGGGAGUACGGCCGCAAGGCUAAAACUCAAAGGAAUUGACGGGGGCCCGCACAAGCGGCGGAGCAUGUGGCUUA
rnacentral:rRNA from 1 species